UUAACUGCUGCUUUUCAUGAAUCUGGUAGCGGCGCUGAGUGAUGCUAAAAAUGGCAGUCAUUAAAAAAGAUGACAUCCUCUGACUACUUCUGGAUAUGUAGGCCACCCUCCUCCCUCUGCUCAGAUUUUUGACUUUAAAAAAAUAAAAAAAAAUAAAAAAAAAUAAAAUCUGACUGUCUUAAACACUGCAGCUGCUGUCAGUCAGAGCAGAUAUGAAAGGAGUCCCUCACACAGAGAUGGCUCCCUCUCUCUCAAUGUCACAUAAACUGUGUGAUGGCCUUGGUGUUAAAUGGAGUGGAAUUGAUUUUACGCAGCGCGUAGCAAGGCAGCGAGCAUCCACAGACAUCUGAAGGGCUUGUCCCCCUCCACCACCACCAGCAACCCCCCCCACACCUACCCACCCUCCUCAAAAAUGAUUAUAGUUAUAUAAGUUUCCCUCCCACUCCCGCCGUCGUCAUGGCAACCCCCACCCCUCCUUUUUGAACGUCAGAGCCAGGAGCUGGAGGAUGAAGCCGCAUGCAGCUUCAGCAUCUCGUGCCUCUCAGAGAGCACCUGUGAUUAUUUUGCAGAGGAGGAGCAGCUGCUGCAGCGACGGAGAUCAUCUAAUGAGAGGUUCGGACUCUGGGCUGCUCUUCGUCGCUUAAAAAAUCGCCACCGAUCGAGCAGCGUCCGCAGCCGGUAUGUCGUGGUUGUUCUUGGACUGGUUCGUCCCACUCUACUUGCUGGUGUCGGUGUUGGUGCUGGCAGGCUUCGGAGCGUGCCUGUACUUCUUAGAGCCCGGGUUGCAGGAUGCCCACAAGUGGAGCAACAAAACAGUCCGGCAUCACCCGCUGGUGGCCAGUGUGAACUGCAGAGAUGACGAUAGCAAUGCCCUGAUAUGAUCAAGAGGGCGAGGCGAAGCGGGAGGGCGGCUGACCAUCUGGACAGGGGUGCUGCCGCCGGGACACCCGUGGGAUGGGAGCCAACACCCAAACGACCGUGGAAGAAAAAUGGGAGAGAAAGGAGGGGGAGAUUAUCUGUUGUGUCUGAUAAUGCAAACCUUGUUCUAUAUCAUUCCAACUUUUCUCUGAUCUCUGCUGAUUUUCGUUGUAGAGGUGAGAGAAAAGUAAAGCAGAGACGUUUUUAACAUUCUUAAAAAUAAAAAUAAAAAAAGAAGAAGAAAAAUUAAAAAGCCAAAUGCACAAUGCAGAGAAGACUGUAUCCAGAUAGAGAUUGUGGGGUGAUUGGAGGAAGUGUUGCCCUUUAGAAAUGUGUUUGUAAAUUUCACGCCAUCCUAUACUUGUGCCAAGUUUUACACGCAUUUUGUAAUUUUGACAAUCACUUUGCAUAUCUCAUAAAGUUUACUUACAUUGUGCAUUUAAUUAGCUGAAGUGAGCGACAUAAGUGCAAUGACUUUGCUGCCAGCGGGGAGGGUUUUUAAUCCUCUCUCUGAUGUCGGCGUGGCAGCUGCUCAGACGCAUGUGGAUUGUUUAGUGCCGCUGUGCCAAAACGGUGUGUUAUUAGUGACUUACUUUAAACUGUUAUGUACCCAAUAAAUGCAACUGAUUCAUUUAAGGUGCCAAGAUUAUCCUAGAUGGACCAAGACGACUGACAAAUAGCCUAGUAUUUGGUAAAGUGUAUUUUUUAUUUUUUUGCUUUCUUUGUUUUCAUUGUUUUUACUUGACAGCAUGGUGAGAAACUGUGGGUGUGUAACGACCCUCUUUUAAGAAUCAUAUGCUUCCUUUGUUCAUACAAAAAUAAAACUGCUCAGUCCUCG